rnacentral:rRNA from 1 species
AUGGAUCUGGAGAGAUCGCCGCCGCCCGAUCACGCGGCGGAGGCGGCAGGGGGCGGGGCGUGCUCCAUCUGCCUGGAUCCGGUGACUGGGCGCGCCGGGGGCAGGUCCAUCGCCAAGCUGCAAUGCGGCCACGAGUUCCACCUAGACUGCAUUGGAUCAGCAUUCAAUGCGAAAGGGGCAAUGCAAUGCCCUAAUUGCCGGAAGAUAGAGAAAGGCCGCUGGCUUUAUGCAACUGGACAACGUCCAUCUCCUGAUAUUGAUAUAGGUGGCUGGGUGACUGGUGAAACCUAUGACAUUGCUUCUGAUCUUCCAUUUGGAUUUCAGUGGUGCCCUUUUAGUGGAUUCACACAACUAGCAUCCGUUUUCGAGGAGGGUGAAGCGGAGCCACCGUCUUAUCAUACAGUCGCAGACCAUUCGAGUGCUGCAAGCAGUUCACUUGUUUGUCCUUAUCUUUCACUGCGUGGUUUUCUCCAUCCCGUGCAUGUGCCUCUUGGUUCUGGUGCUGAAGGCGCUUCAUUUCAUCGCCAUCCAACUAGCUUGGAAGGCCAUGCAGCUCCUGAUUUGGGCAAUACCCAAGCAGCUUUCCAUGCAACUGAGCCAAGAAUUCUUGAUAGCGAGCACAGAUAUUUGACUAAUCUUCCUGUAUCGGGCAUCCCGGAUCAUUCUGUAGCUCCAUUUGGUAUAGGACUUCCCAGAUAUGAAACCAGCAGCCAACAAAGAUCAAGACCAUAUGUACAUCACCAUCCCCUAGUCCACAGGCCCACACCUCGCAACGGAAGCAAUCUGGUGGCACCAUUAGGGUCAGUUCCAGCUGUUAUGGGCGAGACUAGAGGCCAUGGUCAUGGUGCGAGGGGCCAUAUGUAUCAACAUUCGAUGCACGCCUCAAUGCAGGGCAGUCCUUUCCCUCCUACAGCUAGGAGGGUCAGGCCGAGGGCUUUGACAAUCACAUCUUUCAUUGCAGCAGCAGCAGCGUCGUCGGCUGAGGUUGGAGUGCCCCAUGGAUUUGCUCCACCCGCAGCUGUGAACAGGAGCCUUCCCUCUGAUGGUGAAGGUGUCUCUAGACCACCCGUCGAUCGACCAUAUGCGUGGGGCCGGGAGGGCUUUGGGCCAUUCCCGUGGGUCCCUGUCGACGGCGAGCCUCACUGGUGGAGCACGUUCAAUCCGAUGCAGAACCAUACACAUGGAGGUUUCACUCGAAGACCUGCUCCCGGGGAGCGGAUACCGCAGAGCCACCCGGACAAUGUUUACCAGCCUGUACCUCCCCAGAGGAUGCCGCCAUUCUUGUGA